ACUUCUCUGUAGUUGUCCUGAUUUAUAUCAGGUGAAGAUUUUGCCCAGUUGGGAUAAAUCCCCACUCCUGUGUCAUGGUGUUUUAUGGAACUGAUGCGCUACAGAGUGGGCCCACAGCAAACCCUUGGCUAUCAGAAUUCCCUGAAAUUACAAGUGAAGAAGAAAGUGCUGAAAUAUGAAUCCUGUUCUGGGUUUUACAGGAAACCAAAUCAACCAAUGACUGAUAUCAGCCUUACUAGAUGGAUCCUUUGCUAGAACACAGCAAAAACUCCCACCCCCAUAGACUUCAAUUUUCUCUAAGACCUGAUAAAACAUUUGCAUCACAGACUGAUUCUUCUCAAUUGAAAACGUAAUUGCAAACAGCAAUUUGCAGGAGUCAAAAGACUCAGUCCUACUUUUACUGGCUCACCUGGGUAGGGUGACUGCCUGGUAGAGUUGCUGUGGGCCAUGAGAGCCUUAGUUGCAGUCCAAGGUGGGCUAAUGAGCUCUCCAAGCAAAUUCCAGCACCAAAGAGGCUACAAACUACUACCCCUACAAACUUGGAAGAGCUUUAGGCUCUGUUCUGGAGACCCCAAGGGAUAGUAGCACUGGGUGAUUUCUAAGGGUUUUCAGAAGAGUAACUUAGAAAAUAAUUCUACUUUUGCUAAGUUUAGGCCUUCUAUGGAGGGUCUGGACCCUUGUCAGAAAAUGAUGAUGGACCCACAACCCCAGAAAGCCGCCAUUUACUGCUAAUGCCUGAGGAUGAAUGUGUUGAGAGCAAUUCAAGCUCUGUCUUACUGCAAACAUUCUCAAAGUGCUCCUAAAGCUAUAGACUGCCCUCGUUCUAAGGUGUAAAAUGGAUUUCCAGGAGCAGGCACUAAAGAGGAAGAGCCUUGAUUAUGAGAAAAAGACAGUUGUGGAUUAUCUGAAGGAGGAUGAAGGCAUCUGUGGAUGGAUGAACAGGUUUGAAACCCUGCGUGACUGAAGAACAAAACCAGUCAGAGGAUGAGGUUUACAUUCUCCACAUGUCAGGGUCAGUUCCUGCUUGGUCAAAUGCCAUUUUUGUUUGCUUGUCUAUAGUGCUCCAAGUAUUUGCCUCUUUCUUACUCAGAUAAUGCCAAAGAGCACAGCCAAAGCCAUGAGAGACGGGGAGUGUGAGAAGGGCUGAAGGAAAGCAGAUGGAAGAGAGCUUGCCCACGGGAAGGCAGUCUGGCCACCAGUGUUGCGCAGUUGCUGCCUUUCUUCAGAGCAGGAAGAGCUGGUUUGAUGCAUCUUAUCACAUGGGAAAAAGUAGGAAAAAACCCACAAACCACCUAGAAAGAGCCACAGGACCAGCAUAAAAAGAGGUGUGGACAAGACCAAGGACCAGCACGGGAAGGUGUGUUAGGUCUUGAGUGUAUUGCAAGAUGGAAUAGUUUGCAACUUCACAGUGCUGCUCUGUGGAUGGGACCACUGGUUGUUGGGACUGUGUACCUUCAGGAUCCUGCUGCUGAUGGAGCAUCACAGACAGGAUUAUCCAAAGCACUGCUGUUUACCUCUGCCUUGGAGCUUCAGCCAGGCCUUUCCAGCAGCUUCUUCUCUUGAGCUUCAUGAGCAGAAGACAAGCCCAGGCAGGUCAUCUCCACCUGUGACUGUGCUCUAGUCAGGCAGAUCAGGCUGAGGCACGUUUCAGUGGCUCCUUGGUGCUUCUCCUGUACCUGAGACAUGCAUGCAUCAAAUGUUUCAGUUUACAGGGCAAUCAACCUGGCAGCUUUCCUUGCUAAAUUUACUUUUUAGAGUUACAUCAGUGCUGUAUCCAGAGGGAAUGGAGGAACAGAUGCAGCUUGUGAAGUCUGGCUUUAAUUCACCCUCCUCAUUUAAUUUCCUGCCCAGCCUACUAAUCAGUGAGUCUGCACUAGUGGCUUUGGGAAUACCAAGGUUUUUCCACAUCCAGAAGAAUUCAAUACAGUGGCUGAACUCUCAGGGUCUCAAGCAGGUUGUGUCACUUUGCUUUGAGACCACUUCAUUAUGGAUUUCCCUCCCCAAGAAGCACUUGCAGACAUUCUCCAGCUCAUGGCAGCUGCACCUCAUUUCCUUGCAGGGCCCACUGGUGCAGGGAAGUUGUGUCACAUUAUCCUCUCUCAGCCUGUGUGGCAUUCCCUCCUGGAAGUGCUUUCCUUCAAGGUUUUCAGCCCAAGGCCUUGAUUUUCAGGGCCACACACUUCUUUCUGGGGCUGUGCCCAGGGCAGCUCUGCUGUGCUGGCUGAUGUGCUGCUGGGGCCAUUUGGGCCUUGUCACCUCCCAGGGCUUCCAGGGGCACCAGCAGAGCCUGGCAGGGGCUCCUUCCUCCCUCACAGGGCCCUGAGAGUGUCAUUUCCAGGUACUCCUUCUCCAAGGACACCGGCACCAUCUCAGCCCAGUGGUGCUGUCAGGCACUGCCUCAGACAUUCAGGGCUGUCAAGAAGUGCCAGUGAAAAGGUUUCUGGCACUUUUUCUUUGUUUAAGCAGACUUCCUCUGUCCUGGGUUUUUUUGGGCUCCUGUUAAUUCCAGGCAGUGCUGCUCUGUUGUUUAAUCAGCCCGUGUCAAAGCUCUGGGACACAGGAAGGCUGCCUUUGCCUGGUAGUACCUAUUUUGUGACACAACUGCUUUACCUCAGGUAUUAUAAUCUGUACCAGAUUGCUCUUUGCCUGCUAAAAUGGACAGUUCAGAUCCAGUUGUAAUGCAAAUUGCACAGUAGAAUAAAAGCCUGGGAGGAAGAAAAUCCCAAAUAAGUAGUUAUGUCAGCCUUUGUUAUGGUGUGAUGGCUUCAACUCUGCUCAUACUCUGUGAAGGAUCAAGAGGAAAGAAUCUGUUGUGCCUUUGUGCUUUAUAGGCAGGAGCUCGAUGUAAGGCUGCCUUUAGGCACUGGAGGCCCUGACUGUGUGUGUGUGUGUGUGUGUGUGUAAACCUAACGGACAAAUUACACCCACGCUGGAAAUUUGAUGAUUGCCUUGUUUUUUCAAGGCUCUGUUUUAUAUACUACAGGCCAAACCCAUGGGGUAAUUGCCAGUCUCUGCACAGGGGCUGAGAUGACAUGAUGAGAGAGAAGCAUAGAGAUGCUGAAAUUUCAAUCUGCCACAUAAUGUGCUCCUAAUCCUGAUGGCCUUGUAAUUGUGAUGCUGUCACUGGUGCCACUGCAGUUGUUCUUGCCACUGUUUUCCCAUGUUUGGUGCUAAAUAUUGUAAAUGUAGAGAAAUAUUUAGAUUUGUAAAGGAAUCUAAAUUUACAGUGGAAAUAAACACACAGGAGCCUGAAAAGUCAAAUGGAAGAGGUAUGUUUUCAUUUCAAAUGGCAAGUCAUAGCAAUGUAAAGCAAUAUUUUCUUGAUACAGCUGCUCUUACUGCUUUGCUUUUUCCCAGGCCACAGGUAACAAAGAAUGAAGCUGAAUAUUUUCUCAUCCUUGAGAAUUGAGGUGGGAAUAUGUGUGUUCAUAAAGUGUUGGAGCUGGCAGUCAGAAGGUCAGUGUUGUAAGGGUUACCUGAGCUCGUGCACAACUGGUGAGAUCCAAAGUGAGAACAAUGCCUGUCCAUAUCUCCUGGAAAUGCUAGCUUCCAGAGGAAGGAACAAGCAUGAGAGGUGGUGAAGCCAGAUGGAUGAGUUGGGUUCAAAGUCCUUCUAGAAGCUAUGGCAACAUAACUUAUAUAUCUACUCAGAAAAGCCUUUGCAACUACCAUAAAUGACUUUAAGUGGCCUUAUUUUCCUGCUAGCAGAGAAAUAAGAAGCUUCAAUGGGGAGGAGUAAAUCCACUUCAUUACACAUGUUGCUAGGAAUAACACUCUUACUGGUUAUUAGUAAUAACCCAAUCUAUUACUGGUAGUGUGGCUGCUGAAACAGGCAGUCUUAUCUGCCAAGGAAUAACUGUACUGCUCCAAAAUUUUGAAUGACAGUGGCACAAGGGGAGUCAGAAGGGCCUCAAGUGAGGAAACUCAGUAGGAAGCAAAGUCAACAUGGUGCACUUUGGUUAUAAACAACAUCUGUGACAAAUUAAAUGUGUCGGGGCCGGUCUAUCUUUUGAGGAUUUCUGCCAGGCAACCUGAGCUCUUUACAUCCUGAUGUUGUCCUAAGGCCAUCCUUGGUGUUUGUAUGUCAGGUCACGAGGUGAUGGAGGUGUUGGCUUAUUGGCUCAUCUUCUGGAGGAAAGAGGGGCUUCUAGACCUUGGAUGUGCAAAGCAGCUCAAGCUCAGGGCUUCAGUCCAGGAUUGAGGUAAAAUUUCUUCAUUGAAAUCAAUGGCAAAGUACCUGAUCACUACAGCAGAAGUGUUCUCACACAGCAAUGCCCUGGGAAAUUCUCUUUUCUCCUGGGAGAUUCUGCUCUUAUUUAUGCAAUUAUAAAUUCAUUGUAGCUCUGUUUGAAACAACCGUUUUCAUCCGAUGCAAAUAAGAUCAAGAUCUGGCCCAGGCUGCUUUUGUACACAAUGGAAACUGACUGAAUUAUGGAAAACAGGAAACAAAUCUAAUGUAAAUCUGAAUGGAAAUAUGCUCUCUGUUACAUCAGAAUAAAUUGGAAGGAAGUCUGUUGAUUCUAGUGGAAUUCAUCUGGAUUUACACCAGACUGUGUGUCAGCAUUUGUCAGUUGGCUGCACAGAACUCAAAACAUCAAAACUCAACAUCAAAACUCAAACCAUGCCACCUCAUCUGAAUAGGUUUGAACAUUUUCUCCCUUUUCCUUUAUAUUUAAGCAGUUGCCUCUGCAACCUGAUGGCUGAUUAGCCUUUUCAAACAAAUAAACCCCUGCAAACAGGCAUCAACAAAUAAACCUUGCUCUCACUAUCGUUUGCAGUGAGAAUAAAUGAUGACUAUGAAGUACUGAGCUUGGGUUUAGAGUCACUUAAACUUGCUCCUGCUCCUCUGUGUUCAUACUUUAGAGCAGUAGGAUUGAGCUCACAGGGGGCAGAUCUUGACCAAACUGUUCUGAUUUCCCCAAAGGAUGGAAAUCCCAAAGGCAAAUGCAUUGCCUUCUCGUGGCACUGGGAAGGGCCAGCAGCUUCCUAGGAUGCACAGGAUUUACCCUUCAGUAGAUCAGCAAAAUACUGUCAUUCUUUCACUCUUUCUCUCUUCAGGAAGAUGGUCAGAAUGGAGCCAAAACCCUCCCAAAUGGAACUAAUAAGGAAUUAUUAGGGAAUUGUCACACUCUGUUUCCACAGGCAAGUUGCUGUGCUGGGGAACGUGGGAACCUGUGGGUACUUUUCAUGGGAAAGCAAGAGGGUUAAUUAAUGCCUGAGCAACAAAUUUGACUCCCUGAGUGAAAGUCACUGGAAAAACACAAUAUCUGAGCAAGAGCAUAGCCACGUCAACCCUUCCCUUGAUUCUCUUAUACCCCAGCUUCUUACUUAAUUCUGUUUUCAGUCUGUGCUCAUGUUUCUCUUCAGAUAAUUAGUAAAAUGCAUCUUAAUUAAAACAAGAGGAGGAGAAGAAGACAGAAACAAAUGAAAGUCCUAAGUCAGUGGGAUUUAGGGAGGGGCAAAGCCAGUAUUCAAAUACAAAUCCUGAGGCAAACAUGAUAAUAACAGUUAUGGAAAAUGCAUCAAAGGUAAAGAGUUUUCUGAAAAUGGGGUAACUUUCUGAAAAAAAGGACUGGCUAGAGCCUAAUGUCCGAGUACCACAGAGACUGACCUGAAACCAGUUUCAUGGGGAGAAGAGCUGAGGGAGCUGUGGGGUCAGCAUUCUUUGUUUUCCUUUGUCACUGAUUUUCUGUGAACCUCAGGAAAUUAACUGGGCAAGAUUUUCACAAGUGACCCCUGUCUGUAGUUGCUAUGAUGUGCAGAUGUUCAACCUGAGAUGUACCCAAUCACCCUUUGCUGCACCAGUAGCAACAGAGCACAUCUGGAUCUCAACCACAGGGUCUGAAUGUGCCAGCCACUCCCUC